rnacentral:lncRNA from 10 species
GGCCGGCUCUGAGGAGCCAUGCAGGGCUCUGGAGCGGCCUUGGAGGUCCGGACGGAGGCGGAGCUCUGGCUGCUUCUGAUCGCUGUCCCGGCAGAUGCCCCAGCUCUGUUUCCUCUGGGUUGCAGCCAGUCCAGAGACUUCUGACGAGGAGAGAGUGCUUGUUCUCCUUGUUGCUGUUAGGGUGGGGCAAUAGGUUCUUUUUUAGGCAAGAAGCCUUUUCGUCGGCAGGUACCAGCAUUGAGCACCAGUGGCGUUUGGUUUUCAGUGGUACUCCAUGGACAGCCCUCCGCGAGCCCCGGCGUUGAACCCAUUUACGAUUCACUGGGAAAGUUCCGAAGCGCUGCAGCGCUCAGCCCUCCCACGCCAGGCGUGUGUGUCAGGGGAGCCAUAAAAUACUGACUCCGGAAGAUACAGUCAAUAGAAGUCAAGCUCAAUUUAAUUUUUUUAAAGGAAAAUAAUCUCGUAGAAAAAAAUCAAUAUUUUUAAGUCGUUCGUGUUAGUUCUCAUAACACCCCUACUGUAGUUCUCUCCUGGACGUGUAAUGCUGCCGUUUCAAUGUCAAAACAUUCAGUGAAACUUAAUUGUGAUUUUUAUCAGAACUAAUGUAGGACAUGAGAAUAAUGGGCAUUUCUCCUAGUUCCGUUACUUCGUUGACUGUGGUGUGAGGAAAGAAGCCAAAUUAAGGAUCACUAGAAAUAGAAAAUGUGGAUCUUUUACCCCAUGAUGGAAAAUGCUACAGAUGAACCAAAAAGCAUCGGAGUAAAAAGCAUCGUACAGCAUCUGAACAGUCCACCAGCCUUACGAUGUGAGUCAGAGGUUAGGAAAAUCUUACACUGUUUGAAAAAAUGUCUAUUUCUAUUUUCAAUUUAUUAAAUACAAGAAAUAUUUAGAUAUAAAAUCCACUAUAUAUAUCAAGAUAGGACGUUCUUGGUUUAUACAAAAAUCAUAACAAAGACAACUAGACAAACCAGGUAUUUCAUUAAAUGCCUUUGCAGCGACUUUUCUUGGCUCCAGCAUUUUAAGUCAUGUGAAUUAGACUUAUUUUUAAGCAUAGGGCUUAAAAUAAAUCAGGCAGUUGCCCUAAAAUAAAUUUCCUAAACCCUGCUUGUCUUUUUUUUAUUAUUAUUACCAUUUUUAGGUAUUAGGAAUUUUGUUGUUUCUCAGAGAACCGUGAACAUUAUGUUGCUUUCCAUUUAGACACAUACGAAAAAAUACAAGUAGUUAAGACAAUACAUGAGUGACACUGAUAAAUAUAAGUGGAAGUGAUAACCAACCUGGCAGAACUACUAGAAAUAUAUGUGGGGUCCAUAUAUUUCUAGAAAUAUCUACU